UUUAAUUAUUCUUAGUUGCUGAAUUCUUCCGUGAAUUAGUCAUUAUCUAAAAAGCUGAGGACUAUAAAGAUUUGUGAAUAGACUUUUUAUAUUUUUGGUACUGUUCUUAAACUUUCAAGAAAAACUAGCAAGCUGGAAUAUGAUGUUUUCUUAUAUGCUUCAUAUUUUACUCUUUAUAUAGUUUUAUCUUUCAGCACAGUGAGUUUCUAGAGGAAAUUCAAUCAAUACCGUCUAUGACAGAUUAACAAUGGGUACAGUAUUUUGUGUUUCUCCUUCCAUUGAAAGAUGGCAAGUCUCCUCUUGAAUCUGAGUUUGCCUUAGAGAUUUGCUUGAUCAUAGAAUGUUGCAGAGGAAUAUUCUGGGACUUCUAAGACUGGUUCAUAAGAACACUUGCAGCUUCCAUCUGGGCCUCCUGGAACACUUGCCCUUGAAACUGAGCCAUGAUGCUGUGAGGAAGCCCAACAAGCCCCAGGGAGUGGGCUAGCCAACAGCCCCAGAUGAACUCCCAGCUGACAGCUCCCACCAGCUCGACAGUCAUACAGGGAAAUUGAGGUACAGGAAGCUGAGGUAACUUGCCUGGAUCACUUAUCUUGGAAGAGGCUGAAUCAAUUCAAAUCUAGACAUUCUGGGACCUGGACCUGACUUCUUAACUAGUUGUAGGUGCCAGGCAGUCUCUGAGGAGUUGUUGAUAGAUGAAGAAAGAGUCCUGUUCACAGCCAAGAAAGCAAGGAACAGACUGACCACAGGUGGGAGACACACCUACAAGAUAUUCAUCAUCACUGACAGAAGAAAAGAACAAUGAAAGACCCUGGAAUCCGUCAUGCCUGAAGGCUGACAUUUCUAAACCCUCUCCUUACUGUCCACUUUCCCUAUAUAAUUGCUUCAAGAUUCUGUAAUCCUUGAAGAUGGUUUUUUUGAGACAUUAGUCUACCAUCUUCCUGAUUAUGCUGGCUCAUAAAAUUAAAACUUCCUUUCUCCAUUCCUAACUUGUUGUAAUUAAUUGACUCAGAUUACGGGGAGAAGAGUGAACCCAUUGCUCAGUUUCACUGUCAAUUCAAUUUAUGGCUGAUUGAUACAUAAUUGAAAGGUCAUUGGCUUUAGUUAGAGAUGCAGUGUGUAGCCUUACAGCAGAUUGGAAUUAUACAGUUUAGCUGGAGAUUGAGUUGAUCCUUACUGGUGGGACUAGUAAGAGAAAUUGCACCCCCCAAAAAAAUCAUUUUAGAAGGAAAUGCUAGCUUGUCCAGAUAUUUCUGAGUAAUUCAUAUGGGCUAUUCCAUUGUAAACAUAUUUUAAAGCUCUACUUUGUAAAAACUGUAGCUUUUAUCUUCUUGAAAGCACAGUUUUAACUCUCAGAGCUUAACUUGGUAAACUUGACAGUAAUGACCAAGUUGGUAACAUUUUCACACUAAUCUAAUCUGGAAAGUGCCUCUUUCCUCAGAUAAUUUUAGCUAUUUGGCUUGAAAAGUAAACUAGGGAAUAAGCUAUUCUAUUCACAACAUUGCUGUGUGGUGGUUCAGAGCACCCACUUAGGUAAUAAUAAUCGUAUUACUAUACAGAUAUUCUAUCCUCGAAAGCAGGCUAGGUCUUAGGGAAAUAAAAUCGUUUCUCUGCCCUCAAGGAAUUUAUAGUCUCGUGGACAGAGGUACUAAUAAAGAUUGUCAUGUAGCAGGAGACAGACUACAAUCAAGUCUUGUACAGAUACAAAUAGGAAGAAGGAAAAACAAGGUUUGACUUAGACACAACUAAAAGUUAUGUUAUAGGAGCAUAAAAUUAUAUAUUUUGACCCAGAAAGGAUUUUGGAAAAUAUCAAAUCUAAUUAAAGUAGGCAUCAUUUAAAACCAUGGCUAAAACCUCAGAAACAGC
ensembl:lncRNA